CGAUCUGAGGGUGAUCUGGCUGUGACAUCUGUCACCCCAUUGAUCACUAGGGUUGGUUGAGCUGACCUGGCUGGCUAGGCAGGGGUCCCCUUCCUCCCUCACUGCUCCAUGUGCAUCCCUCCCAAAGCUGCACACUCACUUGAAGAGGACGACUUUCCCUUCUGCGGGACACUGAUUACGUGCUCCAACUUGGCGGGCCUGGGCUGGGGGACCGGAUCCACCCCUGGGGAGGGUAGUGGGUACGG
rnacentral:sRNA from 1 species